GGCAAUAUGGCCGAGUGGUCUAAGGCGCCAGAAUCAGGAACUCAGGUUCAUCUGGUCCGAAAGGGCGAGGGUUCGAAUCCCUCUGUUGUCA